AUGCUUGCUUGGCAGUACUUAUAUUAAAACUGGAAUGAUAGAGAGAUUAACAUGGUCCCAUUCAAGGAUGACAUACAAAUUUAUAAAGCAUUCCAUAUUUUA
ensembl:snRNA U6 U6 spliceosomal RNA